GACAGAGGGUGCAAACGUUGUUCGGAAUUACUGGGCGUAAAGCGUGUGUAGGCGGUCAUGUAAGUCAGGUGUGAAAUCCCAGGGCUCAACCUUGGAAGUGCACUUGAUACUGCGUGGCUUGAGUACCGGAGAGGUUGGUGGAAUUCUCGGUGUAGAGGUGAAAUUCGUAGAUAUCGGGAGGAACAUCGGUGGCGAAGGCGGCCAACUGGACGAGUACUGACGCUGAGACACGAAAGUGCGGGGAGCAAACAGG
rnacentral:rRNA from 1 species